UACGGAGGGGGCUAGCGUUGUUCGGAAUUACUGGGCGUAAAGCGCACGUAGGCGGCUUUGUAAGUUAGAGGUGAAAGCCCGGGGCUCAACCCCGGAAUUGCCUUUAAGACUGCAUCGCUAGAAUUGUGGAGAGGUAAGUGGAAUUCCGAGUGUAGAGGUGAAAUGCGUAGAUAUCAGGAGGAACACCGAUGGCGAAGGCAGGUCUCUGGGCUGACACUGACGCUCAUGCACGAAAGCGUGGGGAGCAAACAGG
rnacentral:rRNA from 1 species